rnacentral:rRNA from 1 species
UACGAGGGGUGCAAGCGUUGCUCGGAAUUAUUGGGCGUAAAGGGCUCGUAGGCGGUCUGUUGCGUCGGGAGUGAAAACUUACAGCUUAACUGUGAGCGUGCUUCCGAUACGGGCAGACUUGAGGUAUUCAGGGGAGAACGGAAUUCCUGGUGUGAGCGGUGAAAUGACGUAGAUAUCAGGAGGAACACCGGCGGUGUAGACGGCUCUCUGGACCGUUACUGACGCUGAGAUACGAAAGCGUGGGUAGCAAACAGG